GAUGAACGCUAGCGGCAGGCCUAACACAUGCAAGUCGAGGGGCAGCACGAUUGAGCUUGCUUAAUUGGUGGCGACCGGCGCACGGGUGCGUAACGCGUAUGCAACCUACCUUAUACUGGGGUAUAGCCCGGAGAAAUUCGGAUUAAUCCCCCAUAGCAUUAUCGAUUCGCAUGUUUUGAUAAUUAAAGGUUACGGUAUAAGAUGGGCAUGCGUCCUAUUAGCUAGAUGGUGAGGUAACGGCUCACCAUGGCGACGAUAGGUAGGGGGCCUGAGAGGGUGGUCCCCCACACUGGUACUGAGACACGGACCAGACUCCUACGGGAGGCAGCAGUGAGGAAUAUUGGUCAAUGGGCGCAAGCCUGAACCAGCCAUGCCGCGUGCAGGAAGACGGUCCUAUGGAUUGUAAACUGCUUUUAUUUGGGAAUAAACUCCGGUACGUGUACCGGCCUGAAGGUACCAAAUGAAUAAGCACCGGCUAACUCCGUGCCAGCCGCCGCAGUAAUAC
rnacentral:rRNA from 1 species